rnacentral:rRNA from 1 species
GGUUAAGCGACUAAGCGUACACGGUGGAUGCCCUGGCAGUCAGAGGCGAUGAAGGACGUGCUAAUCUGCGAAAAGCGUCGGUAAGGUGAUAUGAACCGUUAUAACCGGCGAUGUCCGAAUGGGGAAACCCAGUGUGAUUCGUCACACUAUCGUUAACUGAAUACAUAGGUUAACGAGGCGAACCGGGGGAACUGAAACAUCUAAGUACCCCGAGGAAAAGAAAUCAACCGAGAUUCCCCCAGUAGCGGCGAGCGAACGGGGAGCAGCCCAGAGUCUGAAUCAGCUUGUGUGUUAGUGGAACGGUCUGGAAAGUCCGACGGUACAGGGUGAUAGUCCCGUACACCAAAAUGCACAGGCUGUGAACUCGAAGAGUAGGGCGGGACACGUGGUAUCCUGUCUGAAUAUGGGGGGACCAUCCUCCAAGGCUAAAUACUCCUGACUGACCGAUAGUGAACCAGUACCGUGAGGGAAAGGCGAAAAGAACCCCGGCGAGGGGAGUGAAAAAGAACCUGAAACCGUGUACGUACAAGCAGUGGGAGCACCUUCGGGUGUGACUGCGUACCUUUUGUAUAAUGGGUCAGCGACUUAUAUUCUGUAGCAAGGUUAACCGUAUAGGGGAGCCGCAGGGAAACCGAGUCUUAACUGGGCGUUAAGUUGCAGGGUAUAGACCCGAAACCCGGUGAUCUAGCCAUGGGCAGGUUGAAGGUUGGGUAACACUAACUGGAGGACCGAACCGACUAAUGUUGAAAAAUUAGCGGAUGACUUGUGGCUGGGGGUGAAAGGCCAAUCAAACCGGGAGAUAGCUGGUUCUCCCCGAAAGCUAUUUAGGUAGCGCCUCGUGAAUUCAUCUUCGGGGGUAGAGCACUGUUUCGGCUAGGGGGUCAUCCCGACUUACCAACCCGAUGCAAACUACGAAUACCGAAGAAUGUUAUCACGGGAGACACACGGCGGGUGCUAACGUCCGUCGUGAAGAGGGAAACAACCCAGACCGCCAGCUAAGGUCCCAAAGUCAUGGUUAAGUGGGAAACGAUGUGGGAAGGCACAGACAGCCAGGAUGUUGGCUUAGAAGCAGCCAUCAUUUAAAGAAAGCGUAAUAGCUCACUGGUCGAGUCGGCCUGCGCGGAAGAUGUAACGGGGCUAAACCAUGCACCGAAGCUGCGGCAGCGACACUAUGUGUUGUUGGGUAGGGGAGCGUUCUGUAAGCCUGCGAAGGUGACCUGUGAGGGUUGCUGGAGGUAUCAGAAGUGCGAAUGCUGACAUAAGUAACGAUAAAGCGGGUGAAAAGCCCGCUCGCCGGAAGACCAAGGGUUCCUGUCCAACGUUAAUCGGGGCAGGGUGAGUCGACCCCUAAGGCGAGGCCGAAAGGCGUAGUCGAUGGGAAACAGGUUAAUAUUCCUGUACUUGGUGUUACUGCGAAGGGGGGACGGAGAAGGCUAUGUUAGCCGGGCGACGGUUGUCCCGGUUUAAGCAUGUAGGCUGGUUGUCCAGGCAAAUCCGGAUAAUCAAGGCUGAGGUGUGAUGACGAGGCACUACGGUGCUGAAGUAACAAAUGCCCUGCUUCCAGGAAAAGCCUCUAAGCAUCAGGUAACAUUAAAUCGUACCCCAAACCGACACAGGUGGUCAGGUAGAGAAUACCAAGGCGCUUGAGAGAACUCGGGUGAAGGAACUAGGCAAAAUGGUGCCGUAACUUCGGGAGAAGGCACGCUGGUGUGUAGGUGAAGUCCCUGCGGAUGGAGCUGAGACCAGUCGAAGAUACCAGCUGGCUGCAACUGUUUAUUAAAAACACAGCACUGUGCAAACACGAAAGUGGACGUAUACGGUGUGACGCCUGCCCGGUGCCGGAAGGUUAAUUGAUGGGGUUAUCCGUAAGGAGAAGCUCUUGAUCGAAGCCCCGGUAAACGGCGGCCGUAACUAUAACGGUCCUAAGGUAGCGAAAUUCCUUGUCGGGUAAGUUCCGACCUGCACGAAUGGCGUAAUGAUGGCCAGGCUGUCUCCACCCGAGACUCAGUGAAAUUGAACUCGCUGUGAAGAUGCAGUGUACCCGCGGCAAGACGGAAAGACCCCGUGAACCUUUACUAUAGCUUGACACUGAACAUUGAGCCUUGAUGUGUAGGAUAGGUGGGAGGCUUUGAAGCGUGGACGCCAGUCUGCGUGGAGCCAACCUUGAAAUACCACCCUUUAAUGUUUGAUGUUCUAACGUUGGCCCCUUACCGGGGUUGCGGACAGUGUCUGGUGGGUAGUUUGACUGGGGCGGUCUCCUCCCAAAGCGUAACGGAGGAGCACGAAGGUUAGCUAAUCCUGGUCGGACAUCAGGAGGUUAGUGCAAUGGCAUAAGCUAGCUUGACUGCGAGCGUGACGGCGCGAGCAGGUGCGAAAGCAGGUCAUAGUGAUCCGGUGGUUCUGAAUGGAAGGGCCAUCGCUCAACGGAUAAAAGGUACUCCGGGGAUAACAGGCUGAUACCGCCCAAGAGUUCAUAUCGACGGCGGUGUUUGGCACCUCGAUGUCGGCUCAUCACAUCCUGGGGCUGAAGUAGGUCCCAAGGGUAUGGCUGUUCGCCAUUUAAAGUGGUACGCGAGCUGGGUUUAGAACGUCGUGAGACAGUUCGGUCCCUAUCUGCCGUGGGCGCUGGAGAAUUGAGGGGGGCUGCUCCUAGUACGAGAGGACCGGAGUGGACGCAUCACUGGUGUUCGGGUUGUCAUGCCAAUGGCACUGCCCGGUAGCUAAAUGCGGAAGAGAUAAGUGCUGAAAGCAUCUAAGCACGAAACUUGCCCCGAGAUGAGUUCUCCCUGAGACUUUAAGUCUCCUGAAGGAACGUUGAAGACGACGACGUUGAUAGGCCGGGUGUGUAAGCGCAGCGAUGCGUUGAGCUAACCGGUACUAAUGAACCGUGAGGCUUAACCUU